rnacentral:rRNA from 1 species
UAGGGAAUCUUCGGCAAUGGACGAAAGUCUGACCGAGCAACGCCGCGUGAGUGAAGAAGGUUUUCGGAUCGUAAAACUCUGUUGGUAGAGAAGAACGUUGGUGAGAGUGGAAAGCUCAUCAAGUGACGGUAACUACCCAGAAAGGGACGGCUAACUACGUGCCAGCAGCCGCGGUAAUACGUAGGUCCCGAGCGUUGUCCGGAUUUAUUGGGCGUAAAGCGAGCGCAGGUGGUUUAUUAAGUCUGGUGUAAAAGGCAGUGGCUCAACCAUUGUAUGCAUUGGAAACUGGUAGACUUGAGUGCAGGAGAGGAGAGUGGAAUUCCAUGUGUAGCGGUGAAAUGCGUAGAUAUAUGGAGGAACACCGGUGGCGAAAGCGGCUCUCUGGCCUGUAACUGACACUGAGGCUCGAAAGCGUGGGGAGCAAACAGGAUUAGAUACCCUGGUAGUCCACGCCGUAAACGAUGAGUGCUAGAUGUAGGGAGCUAUAAGUUCUCUGUAUCGCAGCUAACGCAAUAAGCACUCCGCCUGGGGGAGUACGACCGCAAGGUUGAAAC